rnacentral:antisense_RNA from 1 species
GUGGGAGCUGGCUUGCCUGCGAUGAGGCCCUGUCAGUCAGCUCAUUUGCAGGCUGACCCACCGCUAUCGCAGGCAAGCCAGCUCCCAC